rnacentral:lncRNA from 1 species
AUCACAUGUUAUUCCUUCAGCAAUUGCAUCACUCAAUAGAACUUAUCAUCCAUGAUAACACAUGGUCCCACAAUAAAGUGCACAGCUGAAUUAAAUAAAAAAAAUUAUACAAUUCGUUUUUCCAUGAUCAUAGCUAAAAAAUGUAAUUAUAAGUAUUGAAUGCUUCUUUUUGUAACUUCAUAGGGUUGUGAAAGCGUUGACCGUGCGCACAUUUUUAGAAUGAAGCGCUUCAGCGCUUCAUACAAAAUGUACUUCGGUCAACGCUUUUACACCCCAAUGAAGUUACAAAAAGAAGCAUUCAAUUCUUAAAUAAACUUUUACUGUGAAUCAGAAUGUAAUGUAUGAUCAUUUUGUAGAUUUGUCAUUAAACGUCAUCAUCAGUUUUUCCAUUAUCUGUUUGUUUUAACUGAUUAGCUGCCUAUUUCAGUGAGAGAAAAAAAAACAGCAACAAAUUAUAUAAAAUCCAUAAAACAUAUGUAAAUUUAUAUAUCUUUGUCAGUAUUCUUGCUAGAAUUUAAUGGCAAAGGUGCACACUUUAGAUUAAAGGUACAGUAGGGUUUUUUUUGUGUGAAAAAAACGACAAACUGAAUCAUGGUUGUCAACAGCAAAAUUAAAAUAAGAC